GACGAACGCUGGCGGCGUGCUUAACACAUGCAAGUCGAACGGAAAGGCCCUGCUUUUGUGGGGUGCUCGAGUGGCGAACGGGUGAGUAACACGUGAGUAACCUGCCCUUGACUUUGGGAUAACUUCAGGAAACUGGGGCUAAUACCGGAUAGGAGCUCCUGCUGCAUGGUGGGGGUUGGAAAGUUUCGGCGGUUGGGGAUGGACUCGCGGCUUAUCAGCUUGUUGGUGGGGUAGUGGCUUACCAAGGCUUUGACGGGUAGCCGGCCUGAGAGGGUGGCCGGCCACAUUGCGCCUGCGAUACGGCCCAGACGCCUACGGGAGGCAGCAGUGGGGAAUAUUGCACAAUGGGCGGAAGCCUGAUGCAGCAACGCCGCGUGCGGGAUGACGGCCUUCGGGUUGUAAACCGCUUUCGCCUGUGACGAAGCGGGAGUGACGGUAAUGGGUAAAGAAGCACCGGCUAACUACGUG
rnacentral:rRNA from 1 species